UGUGAAUGUGGAGCGAACUGCUGGUUUAACGUCCCCGUCCCCGGUCCCUGCCCCCACCCCAACACUCAGGGGUCAGAGACUGCGGUCAGCUGUGGUCAGCUGCCUUGGCUGCACACUGGAAUCCUCUGGGGGCAUUCUGGAAGCUGUGAACAUGAAGGACAGUGCUACAGCAAUUGAACAAGCUCUCUACUGGAGGCCCGAGGCACCAGUGGUCCUAAUUACUCUCCAGCUGACUCAAGUGCUCGGCCAGAGUGAAGACUCCUGGUAGGCAUUCACAUGCCUGUGGUCUUGGCAUGCUUACUUAACUCACCAAGGAAACAACAUACUCCUCAAGCCUUGAGGGACCCAUCACAAGUCCACAUGGUCACUUUCUACACUGAGGGCACACCUCCAUGAAUGUCACAGCAGGCGAAGAGCAAGUAAGUGCUUCCCUCUAAAGUGACAUGUGACGUGUGUCCCCUGACCACACUGAACUCCAAGUCAGCAAGUGGGCCAGGUAUUGGUUCCUCUAAAACGAACUGUCACCGAACUUGCACUUUUGACAACAAUUUCUGACCUCACAUGAUUCUGCGGGUCAGCUGGACAGCUCUUUUGCUGGUUUUUCUUGGGCUUAUUUUGACAGCUGAAUUUGGCUGGGCAAUUGGGGUUGGCCUGGAGAAGCCAUGAUGCCCUUGUUCACACGUGUAGCUACUGCCUGGGUACCUUGGUAGCUUUUCCUCCUCUAGCAGGCUCUGUUUACCUCCACAUGCAAAGGUCCCAGGACAGUUGUUCCGAAAGGACAAAAGCAAAAAGCUGUAGAAUUUCUUAGGCCCGGGCUCCAGAAUUUAUACAACACCGCCAUGUUUUAUUGACCAAGUCUAGCAGCAAAUCCAGCCCAAGUUCAAGGUUUGGAGAAAUUAUUUCCUAGUGUAGUUAUAUCAUAGCCAUGUUUUCACCUAUUAUAUCAGACAUGUACAAAACAAAUUCCUGCUUUUUGUGUUCUACAGUGUCACCAUAAACUCUGAAUUAAAAAUACCAAGUCAUUGCUUCUGGAGAAACAGAGUGUGUUCCUACAAGCCUCUGGCAUAAAACCACCUUAGCUAAUCAGCUCUCCAACCUUGCUUUACUUCUAUUUAAGGCUAUCUUAUCUAAUACAUAUCAUUGAUUUUGUAAACACUGAACUCUCACAGCCAACUCAGCCCACAGCCAUUCAGCCCACUGAAGUCUUACCCAUCAGAGCUUGCCUACAUGCAUUUCCUCAAAAGGAACAUUUCUGAGACAAGGAGCACCAACAAUAAGCAUUGUGUCAGUAACUGCCCUACACUUGUUAACAGGGUAAGAGCCGAGACAAGAUGGCAAAGCGCUCUGCUGUAUGCACAGCUGUGUGCCCACGGCUCACAUUGUUUACCACUCUACAUCGCCCCAAAUGAUUGCAAAAGCAACAUGAGCCCUAGGUAUUGAUUUUGAGAUGACACAUUAAUUUUUACAAGGAGAUAAGUCCACAAAUGCAGAGCCCAUAAAUCACAAGAAUCAACUGUACAGGGAAAACAGAUAAUGGUGAGAAAUACGACAUAUUUUCUUUAUUUGCUUGCCUAGUCAUCUUUGGUUGAAAGUAGACAUUUUAUAUAAUGUGACAAUUCUGAAAGUCCUGUAAUCUAAUUCUCCACCCACUUUGGGUUUGCUUUGAUGUUUGCUAUUAUUUCGUCACUAUUCUGAGCCAGGAAAUUCUCUCUCUCUCACCUUCUCUCACUGUCUUUUUCUCUUUCUCUGUCUCUGUCCCUCUCGGAGACCCCCGAGAACCCAGAACCUCAAACGUGCCAGACAAUUGCUCUAUAUCCCCAGCUCCUGCACCCAAUUCCUUUGUCUUGCACGUCCAUUCAAGUCUCUGCACAGUUAGCCAGCUUGGCGGCAUGCUGAUGACUGGAACCCAUAGGUCACCUGGUCGUGGCUGUUGGCCUUGUGUAAGCAUUGGAGCACGCCAUUGGCAGUAGCUGGGCACUGGCUGCUCUGCCUUGGCUUUUACUUCCUCCCUUUAGGGAAUCUGUAUAAAACUGCAGUCUUUGUUUAAAAAGCCCUGAGGCAAACACAAAUAAACAAACAAAAAAACAAACAAAGCUUUAUUACAUGUCACAUCCAUUUUACAGGUGUAGAAACUGAAAUCUAUAAAAGAUUAAUAACUGACCCAAGGACACCCAGAUUUUUGUUCUUUUAAAAAGAAUAUGAUGAUGGGAUGUCCCGGGCGGCUCG